rnacentral:lncRNA from 1 species
GGGAGGCCGGGAGGGGUCCCUGGGCGGGGAGUUGCUGCGCAUCUGUUGUGUGUGUGCGUCUGUCUGUCUGUUCAGGUCUGUUUUAGGCUGUGUCUGCCUGUCUCUCUGUCUGGGUCUCUUUCAGGCUGCGUCGGUCUGUCUGUCUGGGUCUGUUUCAGGCUGUGUCUGUCUGUCUGUCUGGGUCUGUUUCAGGCUGUGUCUGUCUGUCUGUCCGGGUCUGUUUCAGGCUGUGUCUGUCUGUCUGUCCGGGUCUGUUUCAGGCUGUGUCUGUCUGUCUGUCCGGGUCUGUUUCAGGCUGUGUCUGUCUGUCUGUCUGGGUCUGUUUCAGGCUGUGUCUGUCUGUCUGUUUGUCUGGGUCUGUUUCAGGCUGUGUCUGUCUGUCCGGGUCUGUUUCAGGCUGUAUGUGUGUCUGCUCUUUGCUUCUGCUCCUGGCUCUGUGUGUAUUUCCCGGGUCCUGUGGCCCUCUUUGC